UGGGAGCUGCUCUGACAGCUGGUGCUUAAAGCUAGUGAGGGAGAUAUGUGUCUCCAGCUUCAGUGAUUUUUGCAGUUCGUUCCAGUCAUUGGCAGCAGAGAACUGGAAGGAAAGGUGGCCAAAGGGGGAAUUGGCUUUGGAGGUGACCAGUGAGAUAUACCUGCAGGAGCGCGUGCUACGGGUGGGUUCUGCUAUGGUGACCAGUGAGCUGAGAUAAGGAAAAUGGCUUCCUGAAAUCCCUCAAGCAGCUGAUUGGUCGACUCCAUGGCUAAUUGGAGAGAGCUGACCCCGCACCCUCGUCAAGACAGCUGUCUCCAAUUACCCAUUCCAUCUGAAGAUAUAUAAAUGCCAGUGUUCUGUUCAGGAGGGAGAUUAUUUUUUUUUUUGUAGGAAAGAGAUUUUGCUAGAGUUUUUGCUAGAGAUUUUACUGGGAGUUCAUUGCUGAGAGUUGGUAUGUUCUGUUUGUUGCUCAGAUAGAGCUUAUUUGAUGUCCUUAGUUUGUUUGUGAAAUUGUUUAAUAUUCUGUUUCAUUUGUUCCCAGGGGGGGAAGUGGAAGGCACCUUGGGAGUGCUUAGGCAAGAGGCCCGCGGGCAUACAUAUACCCGUAGCAUAUUCGCUGUCUAGGCACACUAGGUAAGACCUGGGCGGACCACCCCCUGUAUUUUGGUUAGGGCCCCAGGUGGUGCUAAAUUAGGUAAGUAGUGGGUAGGCAGGUAAGAUAGGAGAGGGGGAGCUUUGAGAUUUACUUUCUUUGCUUUGGUUCCGUCCAGCCCCUUUUCCCCAUAUUACCGUGUGAAGGAAUAAAGUCCUUGUAAACGGUAUCA